GUAUUAGAAUUACUGUUCAGCUUGGAUCAGAGUACAGCAAGUCUCUCUUCAGCCUUCUGUUUGGACUCACCAGCUGGAUCAUCUGAGUGUCUGAACAGGUUUCCGGCCAUUGGGGAGGUUUUGGUUAUCAAUUCUCUGUGAUAUACCAUCUGUGAGCUGCCUGAACAUGAUGUAAGAUACCUCCUGCCAGAGAAGUUAACAAUCA
rnacentral:lncRNA from 1 species